rnacentral:rRNA from 1 species
GUGUGAUUAAGCUACAAAGGGUACACGGGGGAUGCCUUGGCGUCAAGAGCCGAAGAAGGACGUGGUUGACUGCGAAAAGCUCCGGGGAACCGUCAGCAGGUGUAAUAUCCGGAGAUGUCCGAAUGGGGAAACCCAGUUGAGCUAAUCCUCAACUAUCCCUGGUUGAAUAAAAUAGGCCAGAGGAAGGGAACCGGGUGAACUGAAACAUCUAAGUAGCCCGAGGAAAAGAGAAUAUUCUGCUAGUAGUGGCGAGCGAACGCGGAAAAGCCCAAACUGCUGGACUUGUCCAGCGGGGUUGUAGGACCUGGCAAAAGUCAUAAGAUUGUUAGCGGAAUUGUACUGGAAAGAUAGACCGUAGAGGGUGACAGUCCCGUACGCGAAAACGAACUUAUGAGGGCCGGGGAUCCUGAGUACCACGGGGCACGCUAAUCCUGUGGGAAACCGGGAGGCCCACCUCCCAAGGCUAAAUACUCUUGAUGACCGAUAGUGAACAAGUACCGUGAGGGAAAGGUGAAAAGAACCGCGGUGAGCGGAGUGAAAUAGAAUCUGAAACCGUGUACCUACAAUCAGUCGGAGCCCUAUGUCUGUUUGAAAGCAGAAAGGGGUGACGGCGUGCCUUUUGGAGAAUGAGCCGACGAGUUACUUUCUGUGGCAAGGUUAAGCUAGAAACAGGCGGAGCCGUAGCGAAAGCGAGUCUGAAUAGGGCGGAUAGUCGCAGGGAGUAGACACGAAACCGGGUGAGCUAACCAUGGUCAGGUUGAAGCGAGAGUAAUGUCUCGUGGAGGACCGAACGGGUAUACGUUGUAAAGUGUUCCGAUGAACUGUGGUUAGGGGUGAAAUGCCAAACGAACUCGGAGAUAGCUUGUUCUCCCCGAAAUAGCUUUAGGGCUAGCCUCGUGCGUUCAAUCUCGGAGGUAGAGCACUGGAUUGGCUAGGGGGUCUAUGACUUACCAAACCAAACCAAACUCCGAAUGCCGAGAUUUUAGAGCACGGGAGUCGGACGGCGAAUGAUGAGAUCCGUCGUCGAGAGGGAAAGAGCCCAGAUCGUCAGCUAAGGUCCCCAAGUGAUGACUAAGUGGGAAAGGAUGUGAGACUACUGAGACAUCCAGGAGGUUGGCUUAGAAGCAGCCACCCUUUAAAGAGUGCGUAAUAGCUCACUGGCCUAGUGGUCUUGCGCCGAAAAUAUAACGGGGCUAAAGUCAUCCACCGAAGCUACGAAUUCCGCUUAGGCGGAGUGGUAGGGGAGCGUUCUGUAGGAGAAAAGAAAACAGUGCUGACCGAGAGGACAGCUUGCGGCCUACAGAAGUGCGAAUGUCGGCAUGAGUAGCGAAAAACAUGUGAGAACCAUGUUCGCCGUAUGUCUAAGGUUUCCGACGGAAGGUUAAUCCGCGUCGGGUUAGUCGGGCCUAAGCCGAGGCUGAGAAGCGUAGGCGAUGGACAACAGGUUAAUAUUCCUGUACCGCCGCAUGGAGCGAUGGGGGGACGCAGGAGGGUAAACCAGCCGGGUGAUGGACGUCCCGGUGCUGAACCGGUAGGGUGUUGAGCCGAACAGGUAAAUCCGUUCGGGGAGCUUGAGCGGUUGUAAGCGGGCCGUAAGGCCAGAAGUGGUUAAGCCCCCACUGACAAGAAAAGCCUCUAAGCGAUGAAGUGUGGCGACCGUACCGCAAACCGACACAGGUAGACGGGUAGAAAAUACCGAGGCGAUCGGGGAAACUCUCGUUAAGGAACUAGGCAAAAUAGAUCCGUAACUUCGGGAGAAGGAUCGCCCUGGCCGGUGAAGUUUAUACAAAUGGAGCUGGUUGGGGUCGCAGAGAAAUGGCUCUAUCGACUGUUUAACAAAAACACAGGUCUGUGCCAACGCGUAAGCGGACGUAUACGGGCUGACGCCUGCCCAGUGCCGGAAGGUUAAGAGGAGGGGUGCAAGCUCCGAAUUGAAGCCCCGGUGAACGGCGGCCGUAACUAUAACGGUCCUAAGGUAGCGAAAUUCCUUGUCGGGUAAGUUCCGACCCGCACGAAAGGCGUAACGAGUGGAGCACUGUCUCAACGAGAGACCCGGUGAAAUUGAACUAUGCGUGAAGAUGCGCAUUACCCGCAGCAGGACAAAAAGACCCCGUGGAGCUUUACUGUAGCUUGAUAUUGAGUUAGGGCUUGACUUGUGUAGGAUAGCUGGGAGGCUUGGAAGCUGGUCCGCCAGGAUCGGUGGAGCCGCCGUUGAAAUACCAGCCUGGUUAAGUCUUGGCCCUAACGGUUAGCCGUGAACCGGCAACCAGACAGUGUCAGGUAGGCAGUUUGACUGGGGCGGUCGCCUCCUAAAGAGUACCGGAGGCGCCCAAAGGUUCCCUCAGGCUGAAUGGAAACCAGCCGCAGAGUGCAAAGGCAUAAGGGAGCUUGACUGCGAGACCAACAAGUCGAGCAGAGACGAAAGUCGGGCUUAGUGAUCCCACGGUUCCGAGUGGAAGGGCCGUGGCUUACCGGAUAAAAGCUACCCCGGGGAUAACAGGCUGGUCUCGCCCAAGAGUUCACAUCGACGGCGAGGCUCGGCACCUCGAUGUCGGCUCGUCGCAUCCUGGGGCUGGAGUAGGUCCCAAGGGUCGGGCUGUUCGCCCGUUAAAGCGGUACGCGAGCUGGGUUCAGACCGUCGUGAGACAGGUCGGUCUCUAUCCGCUGUGGGCGUAGGUAAAUUGCGAGGGGCUGCCCCUAGUACGAGAGGACCGGGGUGGACCGACCGCUGGUGUGCCAGUUGUUCCGCCAGGAGCAGUGCUGGGUAGCUACGUCGGGAAGAGAUAACCGCUGAAAGCAUCUAAGUGGGAAACUUGCCUCAAGAUGAAUUUACCAUCCGGUUAAUCCGGGAGAGGCCGCUGGUAGACGACCAGUUGAUAGGUGGCGUGUGGAAGGGCAGUAAUGUCUGGAGCUAAGCCAUACUAAUGGCCGAAGGCUUAAUCUU